GGCGGCAUGCCUUACACAUGCAAGUCGAACGGCAGCACGGGAGCAAUCCUGGUGGCGAGUGGCGAACGGGUGAGUAAUAUAUCGGAACGUGCCCAGUCGUGGGGGAUAACGCAGCGAAAGCUGUGCUAAUACCGCAUACGAUCUAUGGAUGAAAGCGGGGGACUCGCAAGAGCCUCGCGCGAUUGGAGCGGCCGAUAUCAGAUUAGGUAGUUGGUGGGGUAAAGGCCUACCAAGCCUGCGAUCUGUAGCUGGUCUGAGAGGACGACCAGCCACACUGGAACUGAGACACGGUCCAGACUCCUACGGGAGGCAGCAGUGGGGAAUUUUGGACAAUGGGCGCAAGCCUGAUCCAGCAAUGCCGCGUGCAGGAUGAAGGCCUUCGGGUUGUAAACUGCUUUUGUACGGAACGAAAAGGCUCUGGUUAAUACCUGGGGUUGAUGACGGUACCGUAAGAAUAAGCACCGGCUAACUACGUGCCAGCAGCCGCGGUAAUACGUAGGGUGCGAGCGUUAAUCGGAAUUACUGGGCGUAAAGCGUGCGCAGGCGGUAAUGCAAGACAGAUGUGAAAUCCCCGGGCUUAACCUGGGAACUGCAUUUGUGACUGCAUUGCUGGAGUGCGGCAGAGGGGGAUGGAAUUCCGCGUGUAGCAGUGAAAUGCGUAGAUAUGCGGAGGAACACCGAUGGCGAAGGCAAUCCCCUGGGCCUGCACUGACGCUCAUGCACGAAAGCGUGGGGAGCAAACAGGAUUAGAUACCCUGGUAGUCCACGCCCUAAACGAUGUCAACUGGUUGUUGGGGAUUAACUUCCUCAGUAACGAAGCUAACG
rnacentral:rRNA from 1 species